AGAGGGUGCGAACGUUGCUCGGAUUUACUGGGCGUAAAGCGCGUGUAGGCGGACUCGCAAGUCGGUUGUGAAAUCCCUGGGCUCAACCUAGGAACUGCAUCCGAAACUGCUUGUCUUGAGUAAUGGAGAGGGUGGCGGAAUUCCCGGUGUAGAGGUGAAAUUCGUAGAUAUCGGGAGGAACAUCAGUGGCGAAGGCGGCCACCUGGACAUCUACUGACGCUGAGACGCGAAAGCGUGGGGGAGCAAACAGGAUUAGAUACCCUGGUAGUCCACGCCGUAAACGAUGAGCACUAGGUGCAGCGGAUAUUGACCUCUGCUGUGCCGUAGCUAACGCGUUAAGUGCUCCGCCUGGGGAGUACGGCCGCAAGGCUA
rnacentral:rRNA from 1 species